UGAAGGUCUCUUGGCCUGAAAGGAAUCCGAAGAGCUUUCCAAAGAGUAAUGGAGAAAACUUACUUCCGAAAUCACUAAGCUUAACCCAUUCUGCAGUUCCUUCACUGAUCAAUUCGUUUGAUGAACAAGUACUUGAUACCUACUGUGCUAAACACUGGGAAGACGCCUGAAACUCUGUGAAAUUUGAUAAGCCAGUAAGAAGCAGACCUUUCUUGAAGGCCAUGUUGUGCAUCUCCAGCUCUCACCACCACUACAUGGGAUGCUGGGAAGUGACAAUGGAACUGGAGAUCAGCUGAGGACUCCGACCUCUUGAUCAUUUCCUGAGUGUCCACCAUGUGCUUUGUACUGGGGGAACAGAUCUUAUUCUUUCUUGAUUCUUCUUCUCGCUCUCUCUUCCCCUUCUGGUGUAAUGAUUGAAGCAAUGAUAAAUUAACGAUGUUCUUUGACUUACUAUAAGUUUAUAUCCUGAUCAACCUAGCAUGUAUCAAAACUGGAGUAAGUUGAAUGUCUGGUGGUGAAUAUUCCGAACCUACCGAACAUCAUAACUUUGCAACACAGAGCACUGCAGAGUACUGGCUGCUGAUGCUGGGGAAGAAUGGCCCACUGGGAGCUGUGGCUGGAUGUCUAUUGCCUUCGCAAUGCUGUAACACUGAAAAGGCAUAAGUCAAACCAUCAUCAUAUGCAAUCUGGCUAACUGAGUCUUGAUUAAUGAAGUCUGGGUGUAACUGUUAAUUAGAAAAAGUUAAGAAAGCACAUGUGAAGGGUAUACCCUGUGAGAGCACACUUUCUGGUAGACUAGCUAGGAUCCUUAAACCCAUGGAAAUGUGCUGACCCUGGUCACCCUGGUUGGCUUCUUCAUUUAAUUAUAAUUAAUUAUUAUUAGAGC
rnacentral:lncRNA from 1 species